CUUUUAUUGGUGCUCAACAUAGCAUCUUAUCAGUUUUAUUUUCAGAUGAAUCUCAAAAUUCAAGUUAUACGGAUGUUCCUGACUAAUUGCUUCAUUAAAGAUUCUACUCUUAAAAUAAAAUAUCAAUGAACAGUGGGCCAAGUUUAGAUAAAUUGAACUUGGAAAAUCCUAAAGAUUAUCAUAUAGAAGGAUUGUUAGAUACCAUUUGGGAUGGGAGAGGCAAAGUUGUGUCUGCUCAACACAUUCCAUCCAAGACAUCUUUUGCUAUUAAAAUAUUUGACCUUGAGAAGUGUUCUGAAGACCUGGACCUGAUACAGCAUGAAGCUAAAACAUUGCGUGAGUUGCGACACCCAAACAUCUGUGCCAUCAGCAUCAGCCUGAGCUUUGGCCAGGAGGCCUGGCUGCUGCUACCUCACUACCACUGCUCGGCCGCCUCCAUCCUCACCCACUUCCCUGUGGGCUUGCCAGAACUGGCCCUUGCUCUUAUUGCUCGCGAUGUGCUACUUGGUCUUCAGUACCUUCACUCCAGAUGCAUUAUACACAGGGCUGUGCAGUCUCGCCAUAUCCUCAUUGCUGACACAGGCCGCUGUGCGUUGAGUGGUCUACGGCACAGCAUCGAGCACCGCGUGGGCAGCAGUGAAGGAGAUACCCUGCAUGAGUACCCCAGAUACCCUGUGCCCUUACUCAACUGGGCCAGUCCUGAGAUGUUGCACCAGGACCUGCGCGGCUACAGCUACUCCAGCGACGUGUACUCGCUGGGUCUGACUGUUUGUGAGCUCGCCAACGCCGAGCAGCCCUACGAGGGCUACCAGCCCACACUCAUGAUGGUCGAAAAGCUCAAGGGUCGCGUGCCUUUCCUGGUGGAUGCCUCUAAACCUUUACCUGACGAGAGCGGCGAUGAAACAACCAGCGGUGGCAGCCACGGCAGCAGCGGCGGUCUCAAUAUGAACGCCGGCACCGACGACUUUGCCGACAAGAGGAACGCUUGGCGGGACCGCAUCUUCACGGCCUCAGCACACGAGUUCCUGAGGAAGACCCUGGCCCUGGAAGCCUUCAGGAGGCCGUCCGUGCCACAGCUUCUUGCGUCUGACGCCUUCAUUAAACAGGCCCGCAAGGCGGCAAACCCAUCAGUUCUGGACUACUUGCAGCACCACAAACGCUUGCCAUUCGUUACCGACAACCCAGCUGUCCGCGCUGCAGCUGCUGCUGACGAUCUCAGCGGACAGUUCUCCACCGUCGACAUCGACGACACAUCCUGGGAGUUUGAAGCGUCCUAGACAAGAUGUCUUCGAAAUGAUCCACUUGAUAACGAUGGAUGUUAUCCAAUCAAUGCCGCAUUGCAACGCAUUGCUGAACUCGGAACUGAUGUAAUGCAUCUUCAGAAUCGUUAAAUAGGUAGGGCAAUGAAGUUCGGACAUAUGAAAUUUUUCUGAAAAUGGUGAUGCUAAUACAUACUAUUUAAAAUCUGAAAGAAAAAGGAUUUUGUGAUAACGGUUUUUGAUAUUAGGGACGACAGCUCUAACAAUAAAGGGUUUAGGCACGAUAUAAUUCUCAGAUUUCAUGGAUUGUCCUUCACUGACAACGUAGUUGUAAUGAUACGUCGCGAUAAAUGAAUAGGGGGUAAUAUCUACGGGAAAUUUGAGUAAAUGUCAAACCGGGUUCGACAAAUAUCCUUUAACCAGGAGUUUCGAGUACAAUGAGCAAUUUGCAACUGAUCGUAUCUUAUAUCUGUUAUUCAUGAAAUUAAAUGUGAACUUGAACUGGAAGUAGAUCAUACUGAAUGGUUCUGAAAAUGGUUAUCAUUUGUGAUCCAGUUCCAGCCGACGACCAAUGUCAUAUGGUCGAAGUUAUUGAGCGUAUCUUUCAGAAUAUGCGUCGUUAGAGCGAAAGUAAUUUUAACGGAAAUGCGAAGAUUAUUAUAGAGCUGGCUGCGAUGCUUAUAAACCAACAUUGGUAAUAUAUGAAAUGGCUAUGAGCCGAUGACAUUGAAAAAAAAACAUACGAACAAUACUGUAAUUUAACUUUUCGAUAUAUUAUUUAAACUGACUAAUAACGCAAAAUCACCUAUACCUUGCGUAUGCAAAAUACUAGUAAUGGCAGGACAUCGACGUGCAAUGCGCGCCUAUACUGAAACAAUUAAAAUUCUCACUUAAUUCACGAUAGGUAAACAUAUCGUCAGUCAUACGAGUUUUUAAGUCACACAAACAAUAUCUACUCUGCCAAGUGGGCAAUUAAAAGAUUUCUGCAUAAAUUGUUUCUCAAUUUUAUCGGAAAAAUAACAAGCGCCUAUGAGUGUCAUUUUUCGUAUAGCAAUGCAAUUAAAUUUGCAAAAAUGCAACGAAAUUUAGUUCAAAAUGGAAGGCGGGAAUUCUUAUUUUAAAUAGUUAAAGGAUAUUUCAUUAUUGUCAAAUGACGUGGCAAGAUACUGAACGGCAUGCCAGGAGGCAUUCCGAACAAAAUUUCCCUAUUCCUAGAUUUUCGUCAGUUUUAUUUGUGUUGCGAAUAAAUUUACAGUAUAUGUUUGAAGUUAACU